AGUAAUGCGUGACCAACCUGCCCCAUGCUCCAGAAUAGCUCUUGGAAACGGGUGGUAAUGCUGGAUGCUCCAACUUGACGCAUGUCUUGUUGGGAAAGUGUUUAGUGGCAUGGGAUGGGGUCGCGUCCUAUCAGCUUGUAGGCGGGGUAAUGGCCCACCUAGGCUUCGACGGGUAGCCGGCCUGAGAGGGCGGACGGCCACAUUGGGACUGAGAUACGGCCCAGAUUCCUACGGAGGCAGCAGCU
rnacentral:rRNA from 1 species